rnacentral:misc_RNA from 1 species
CCCUUGUGGAGGAGGACGCCGAAGGUGGGGCUAAUGACUGGGGUGAAGUCGUAACAAGGUAGCCGUACCGGAAGGUGCGGCUGGAUCACCUCCUAACAGGGAGACAACAAAAUGUUUAAUAUUAUUAUUUUGUCACCUUAGGUCGAUCGGUAUCUCACGUUCUUAAUUUGUUAAGAAUUUCAUUUCCUAAGUUUUUCUAGGUCACACCCAUAUUUUUCCUGGGCCAUUAGCUCAGGUGGUUAGAGCGCACCCCUGAUAAGGGUGAGGUCCCUGGUUCAAGUCCAGGAUGGCCCAUAUCUCUAUGUUGGGGGUAUAGCUCAGUUGGUAGAGCGCCUGCUUUGCAAGCAGGAUGUCAGCGGUUCGAGUCCGCUUACCUCCACUGAUUACCACCUCUUCCAUAAUCGGUAGAAAGGAAAUGUUUUGAGUUGUGAUCAUUAUUCUGAACGAAUCUAGCUUCCUAAUGAAAUCAUUAAGAUGCUGGACUCAUUGAAUUAAUUUCAUUGUUUUCAGAGAACCUUGACAACUGCAUAGAUUAUUUUUAAAGACAAUAAGCAUCUUUAAUGAUGCAGAUUUAUUAUUUGUGCGAAUGCAUUAAUAACAAUUCUAUUAAGCUGAUGCUUCAAUUUUUGAAGUUAUUGGUCAAGCUACAAAGGGCUCACGGAGGAUACCUAGGCACAC